UGCAAGUCGAGGGGCAGCGGGAUUGAAGCUUGCUUCAAUUGCCGGCGACCGGCGCACGGGUGAGUAACGCGUAUCCAACCUUCCGUACACUCAGGGAUAGCCUUUCGAAAGAAAGAUUAAUACCUGAUGGUAUGAUGAGAUUGCAUGAUAGCAUCAUUAAAGAUUCAUCGGUGUACGAUGGGGAUGCGUUCCAUUAGGUAGUAGGCGGGGUAACGGCCCACCUAGCCUACGAUGGAUAGGGGUUCUGAGAGGAAGGUCCCCCACAUUGGAACUGAGACACGGUCCAAACUCCUACGGGAGGCAGCAGUGAGGAAUAUUGGUCAAUGGACGAGAGUCUGAACCAGCCAAGUAGCGUGAAGGAUGAAGGUCCUACGGAUUGUAAACUUCUUUUAUAAGGGAAUAAAACCUCCCAC
rnacentral:rRNA from 1 species